GGAAUGAGUACAUGGCCACCACGACCCGGCCUCGCGAUGGCGUUGAUGGUGUGACUGGUUCUGGUGAGAUUUAGAGGACUUUCAAAACAGUGUAAAGAAAAAAAUAUUUGGAGUGCUUAACUCUUUAAAACUGCUUUUUACAUCCCAUCUAGUUUUAUAAUUUGUUGAUCUGUAGAGAUAAAACACUAGUUACAUCUUUUCAAAAUCACCAUUUUGUAUAGAAAGCCAUGUAGUUCUUGUUGUUUCUUUGAAAUCAUUUUCUGCUUAGAAUGAUAGAGCGAAAAAUAAUCAAGGGAAUCUUGUCACCUUUACAAACUUCAUGAUGAUCUUUCUUUGACAUUUCUGCAUCCUAGUGAGGCACACCAAUCAUCAAACAGUUUAACUUGAUGAUAUUCAAUACAGUAAUAUGCAAUGUCAAUUGUGUAUCAUAAGCUAUUAUCAAAACUACAUGCACUCAGCACUUCAUGUCAUUUGUUAGCUUCCAAUUAAUUUUGAAGUACUUUAACACCAUACUCAUUACACUUGACAAAAUAAAUAUAAGCUAGCCAACA